AUUGAACGCUGGCGGCAUGCUUUACACAUGCAAGUCGAACGGCAGCGGGGAGGAGCUUGCUUCUCUGCCGGCGAGUGGCGCACGGGUGAGUAAUACAUCGGAACGUGUCGAGAAGAGGGGGAUAACCACCCGAAAGGGUGGCUAAUACCGCAUAAAUUCUGAGGAAGAAAGCUGGGGACCUAGGAAUAGGCCUAGCGCUUUUUGAGCGGCCGAUGUCGGAUUAGCUAGUUGGUGAGGUAAAGGCUCACCAAGGCGAAGAUCUGUAGCGAGUCUGAGAGGAUGAUCCGCCACACUGGGACUGAGACACGGCCCAGACUCCUACGGGAGGCAGCAGUGGGGAAUUUUGGACAAUGGGGGCAACCCUGAUCCAGCCAUGCCGCGUGUAUGAAGAAGGCCUUAGGGUUGUAAAGUACUUUUGUUAGGGAAGAAAAGUCAGCUGUGAAUAAUGGCUGAUACUGACGGUACCUAAAGAAUAAGCACCGGCUAACUACGUG
rnacentral:rRNA from 1 species